rnacentral:lncRNA from 1 species
UAGUCUUCACAUUAUACGUUUCAAGUGCUAACUAGUCAGUGUGAUCUCUUUGUUCUAGAAAAUUACUGUACUAAAGGUAAGUUGGUAGCAUUAUAGCCAAAUUUUGGACCUCACUGUAUUGAUCUCUAUUUCCUGCUUAUAGCAUUGAAUCAUAGACGCGUAUCCCCCACUCCUUCAGUACUAUCACUUCAAGAACCCAAUAAAACUUUCUGUCGCAAUUUAUAGGGACGUAUACUGUAAUACCCCAC